rnacentral:rRNA from 1 species
GGAUGAACGCUGGCGGCGUGCCUAAUACAUGCAAGUCGAGCGAACGGACGAGAAGCUUGCUUCUCUGAUGUUAGCGGCGGACGGGUGAGUAACACGUGGAUAACCUACCUAUAAGACUGGGAUAACUUCGGGAAACCGGAGCUAAUACCGGGUGAUAUUUUGAACCGCAUGGUUCAAAAGUGAAAGACGGUCUUGCUGUCACUUAUAGAUGGAUCCGCGCUGCAUUAGCUAGUUGGUAAGGUAACGGCUUACCAAGGCAACGAUGCAUAGCCGACCUGAGAGGGUGAUCGGCCACACUGGAACUGAGACACGGUCCAGACUCCUACGGGAGGCAGCAGUAGGGAAUCUUCCGCAAUGGGCGAAAGCCUGACGGAGCAACGCCGCGUGAGUGAUGAAGGUCUUCGGAUCGUAAAACUCUGUUAUUAGGGAAGAACAUAUGUGUAAGUAACUGUGCACAUCUUGACGGUACCUAAUCAGAAAGCCACGGCUAACUACGUGCCAGCAGCCGCGGUAAUACGUAGGUGGCAAGCGUUAUCCGGAAUUAUUGGGCGUAAAGCGCGCGUAGGCGGUUUUUUAAGUCUGAUGUGAAAGCCCACGGCUCAACCGUGGAGGGUCAUUGGAAACUGGAAAACUUGAGUGCAGAAGAGGAAAGUGGAAUUCCAUGUGUAGCGGUGAAAUGCGCAGAGAUAUGGAGGAACACCAGUGGCGAAGGCGACUUUCUGGUCUGUAACUGACGCUGAUGUGCGAAAGCGUGGGGAUCAAACAGGAUUAGAUACCCUGGUAGUCCACGCCGUAAACGAUGAGUGCUAAGUGUUAGGGGGUUUCCGCCCCUUAGUGCUGCAGCUAACGCAUUAAGCACUCCGCCUGGGGAGUACGACCGCAAGGUUGAAACUCAAGGGAAUUGACGGGGACCCGCACAAGCGGUGGAGCAUGUGGUUUAAUUCGAAGCAACGCGAAGAACCUUACCAAAUCUUGACAUCCUUUGACAACUCUAGAGAUAGAGCCUUCCCCUUCGGGGGACAAAGUGACAGGUGGUGCAUGGUUGUCGUCAGCUCGUGUCGUGAGAUGUUGGGUUAAGUCCCGCAACGAGCGCAACCCUUAAGCUUAGUUGCCAUCAUUAAGUUGGGCACUCUAAGUUGACUGCCGGUGACAAACCGGAGGAAGGUGGGGAUGACGUCAAAUCAUCAUGCCCCUUAUGAUUUGGGCUACACACGUGCUACAAUGGACAAUACAAAGGGCAGCGAAACCGCGAGGUCAAGCAAAUCCCAUAAAGUUGUUCUCAGUUCGGAUUGUAGUCUGCAACUCGACUACAUGAAGCUGGAAUCGCUAGUAAUCGUAGAUCAGCAUGCUACGGUGAAUACGUUCCCGGGUCU